CUGAUCCACUCGCUUGCUCGCUGAAUCCCCUUCCCUCGUCGCCUCUCCCUCUCCUCUACGUCGCCAGCUUCUCCUCUACGUGGCCGGCCACUCCCUUUCCUCGUGGCCGGCCACUCCCUCUCCUCGUCCCUGCCUUCCCCCUCUCCUUGUCGCCGGCCUCUUCCACCGCCUCUUUCUCCCCACCACCCACCUUCACUCACACCCCGUAGGUAAAGAAAAUUGAUUCUUUUUGCAUCGGCGACGAGCUUCUCUGCGAUGGAGGUGUGGAUGUGUAGGGGCGUCAGAGCUGGAUAUGGGCUAGGGGGCGUGGAUGUGGAGUGCCUCCCGAGCGGACCUAGAGCGGCGGCGGAGCAGCGGAGCGGCGGAUCUGACGAGUCGGAGCAGCUGAGCGGCGCCGGACCAGCGCCUGAGCGGACCUAGAGUGGUGGCGGAACAGCGGAGCGGCCGGUCUGACGAGUCGGAGCGGCGGAGCGGCGCCGGAGCCUCCGCGUCAUCGUACAGACCAUCGACUAGUUAGUUUCUGUAAUUUGAGGCGAGGAGUACCUGCCUGGAGUUUUGUGUGUGGCGAGGACCAGGCGGGGGUGCAACGAGGAUCAGGCUGGGCAGCGGGGCGAGGACCAAGCUGGGGCGGCGGCGACCAGACUGGGGCGCAGGAGGAAGUUGGGCCUGCUGCUGGCGACGGGGACGAGCAGCUGGAGGGGCCUGCUGCUGGCGACAGGGGAGCCCGGCGGAGGGUGGAGGGGGAGGAGGGGCCUGUUGCUGGAGGGCCGAGGAGGAGGAAGGGCCUGCUGCUGGCGACGGGGACGAGCAGCUGGACGACAGGGAGGAGCCUGGUGGAGGCUCCUGCUGGUGGAGGGCGAAGGAGGAGGGGCCUGCUGCUGGCCUGGACGAGUAGCUGGAGGAGGUGGAGGGUGGAGGAAGAGGAGGCAAGCGCUGGCCUGGAGGAAGACAACGAGGAAGACGAUGAUCUGUUUUCAAAUUACGGGUAGUUUGAAAAUCUACCAAGGCGUCAAGGUCCUUCACCUCAGCAACCUCGAAACAGUGGCGUCGAGGUCCUCCACCUCGACGACCUCCGAAUGGUGGCGUCAAUGCCCUCCACCUAGGCGACCUCCGGUGUCGCAAUCACCUGGACAAUCAUCUGUGUGACACGGUCGCCGGGCUUCAUGGCGAAGUCUGUCUCCGAGUGGUUGAAGAGCACAAUGCCCACCGGGUCCCGGUAGUCCGCGUCGAUCACCCCUGCGCACAUGACGGGAAAGUGAAAACGUGUUAGUUCGUGUCCUUGUGCAGACCCAGUGGGGUAUUUUCUUUAUUUUAUCAGUCUCUUUUAAUCUAUUAUGAAUAUUCGGA